GCCUAGCCACAACAUACAAUUAAAUUACCAAUUGUUCGCCAAACAACUACGAGUCCCACUUAAAACUUAAAAGACUUGACGGUGCUUCAUCACAGCCUAGAGGAGCCUGUCUAAUAACCGACAAUCCACGAUUAACCCUACCCCUUCUCGCCUCACAGUCUAUAUACCGCCGUCGCCAGCUUACCUUGUAAAAGAAAUAAAGUGAGCUAAACAGUACUACACUAAAACGACAGGUCGAGGUGUAACCCAUGAAGGGGCCUAAGAUGGGCUACAUUCUCCAACCGAGAACACGAAUAACACUAUGAAAUUAGUGAUUGAAGGCGGAUUUAGCAGUAAGAUAAGAAUAAAACACCUAACUGAACAUAACGCAAUGAAGUGCGUACACACCGCCCGUCACCCCUGUCACCAU
rnacentral:rRNA from 1 species